UUGAGCAAUUAAUUUGUGAGGGAAGACAGUAUUAGUGUUACUAAUAGCUGCCAAAGCACAUGACUAGCAAGACUGUGUGAACUGGGACGAGGAAUAUACACCUAGCAUAGAUCAGAUAUGUGUACUGGACCUUCCAAAGUUUGGGAACGGCUUCCUUGCAAAGCGAAGACGUCCCUGCCAUCCUCUGUACCGGCAACAACAACCAGCAGACCAGAUUCGAAUGAUGAACUCAAGCCCAAACACCACAAUCAUCACAAACUCCUACAAAGACAAAGAAAGACAUUUUCAAUUCAGCUCUUACCAAGAUCAGGAGACGUUGAGAGGCCAUUUCCUGGUGAUCUGGAAUGGUUGAGAAGACAGACAGCACCAAGCAGCCAAACACCAGGACAAACCUGUCAAAAGAAACAACAACAACAGGGGGAACAAAAAUUACAUAAUUGAAAGAUUUUGUCAUGCACAA